UACGGAAGGCAGCAGUGGGGAAUAUUGCACAAUGGGCGAAAGCCUGAUGCAGCUAUGCCGCGUGUAUGAAGAAGGCCUUAGGGUUGUAAAGUACUUUCAUCGGGGAGGAAAAAACAAAACUAAUAAUUUUAUUUCUUGACGUUACCCGAAAAAGAAGCACCGGCUAACUCCGUGCCAGCAGCCGCGGUAAUACGGAGGGUGCUAGCGUUAAUCAGAAUUACUGGGCGUAAAGAGCACGUAGGUGGUUUUUUUAAAGUCAGAUGUGAAAUCCCUGGGCUUAACCUGGAACUGCAUUUUGAAACUGAAAUACUAGAGUAUCGUAGAGGGAGGUAGAAUUCUAGGUGUAGCGGUUGAAAUGCGUAGAUAUCUGGAGGAAUACCUGUGGCGAAAGCGGCCUCCUAAACGAAUACUGACACUGAGGUGCGAAAGCGUGGGGAGCAAACAGGGAUUAGAUACC
rnacentral:rRNA from 1 species